rnacentral:tRNA from 1 species
GCCGCCCUAGCUCAGUGGUAGAGCACACCCUUGGUAAGGGUGAGGUCGAGGGUUCAAUCCCCUUGGGCGGCU